rnacentral:rRNA from 1 species
CCCUUAGAUGUUCUGGGCUGCACGCGCGCUACACUGGUGCGUUCAGCGAGUUUAGCACCUUAACAGAUAUGUUUGGGUAAUCUUCUGAAAACGCACCGUGAUGGGGAUCGAUUAUUGUAAUUAUUAAUCGUCAACGAGGAAUUCCUAGUAAGUGUGAAUCAUCAGUUCGCGCUGAUUACGUCCCUGCCCUUUGUACACACCGCCCGUCGCUGCUACCGAUUGAGUGGUCCGGUGAAUUAUUCGGACCGGUGGACUGUGGGGAAACCCGCGGCCUGCUGGGAAGUCUUGUGAACCUUAUCACUUAGAGGAAGGAGAAGUCGUAACA